GACUGGCAGAUGUUCUGGUUCAUUCAAAUGGAUACUUGACGAGAUGAAGUGUACCAGGUUUCUUAAAAAUCAACUGUCAGAGGUGUCUUACACAUAAGAAGUGCGGCCGAAGAACUCAGCUCAAUCAUCAUGUGCCAAGUGCCAAGGACCAACCAUCACAUAGAACUACGUGUUGUGUUGGAAGAUAAUGGAUCAUCUUUUCCUAUAAAAAGGUUUUUUUAGAAGUUAUAAAAAGGUUGAUGCAUAAUUGUUUAACUUACUUGGACUUGUUAUCUGCAGCAAGAGAUUUCUGGAAUCACAUUGUUUCAGGCUUUCAGUGGGUUAGCAGUUCAGCAUUCACUUGCUGGCGGCAACUGAUCAGCGCUUCAGCAGUUCAGGCUUAAUACAUUUUCAGGUCUUGCAGAAUGAUUUGCUUUUGCAGCUUGGCUGUAAUAAAAAUAGGCUCUGCCAGUUGUACGAGUAAGAAAUUUAUGGAUGAUUUUCUGAUAACUUUGUAUCUUAAUUGGAUGGUCAGUAUAGCUUGGGUUGUUUUCCAUUUUUCGUCAGAGGAGCCUGGAGCCUAACUAACGGCUUCAGCUUGUUCAGUUGGGCCUCUAGGUGAUAGCUCCUGGCUACUUUGUGGGCUGCACUCCCAGCCUCCCAGGCCCAAGAAGCAGAACAUUUUGGCG